GACGAACGCUGGCGGCGUGCCUAAUACAUGCAAGUAGAACGCACAGUUUAUACCGUAGCUUGCUACACCAUAGACUGUGAGUUGCGAACGGGUGAGUAACGCGUAGGUAACCUGCCUGGUAGCGGGGGAUAACUAUUGGAAACGAUAGCUAAUACCGCAUAAUAUUAAUUAUUGCAUGAUAAUUAAUUGAAAGGUGCAAUUGCACCACUACCAGAUGGACCUGCGUUGUAUUAGCUAGUAGGUGAGGUAACGGCUCACCUAGGCGACGAUACAUAGCCGACCUGCAGGGGUGCUUGGCCCCACUGGGAAUGGGACACGGCCCAGACUCCUACGGGCGGCAGCAGUAGGGAAUCUUCGGCAAUGGACGAAAGUCUGACCGAGCAACGCCGCGUGAGUGAAGAAGGUUUUCGGAUCGUAAAGCUCUGUUGUAAGAGAAGAACGGGUGUGAGAGUGGAAAGUUCACACUGUGACGGUAUCUUACCAGAAAGGGACGGCUAACUACGUG
rnacentral:rRNA from 1 species